AACGAACGCUUGCGGCGCGCCUAAUACAUGCAAGUCGAACGAGGUAGCAAUACCAAGUGGCGCACGGGUGAGUAACACGUGGAUAAUGUGCCAUUCAGUGGGGAAUAACUGACCGAAAGGUUAGCUAAUACCGCAUGAGACCACAGUCCCUGAGGGGACCGGAGGUUAAAGAUUUAUCGCUGAAUGAUCAGUCUGCGUAAGAUUAGCUAGUUGGUGAGGUAANGGCUCACCAAGGCAACGAUCUUUAAGUGGUCUGAGAGGAUGACCACUCACACUGGAACUGAGACACGGUCCAGACUCCUACGGGAGCAGCAGUAGGGAAUAUUGCACAAGU
rnacentral:rRNA from 1 species